CGACAGGGAUUACAAGUUCUUCCCGAGGAGCCGGAACAGAACCCAUUAAGUGAUAGCUUAACUUAGAAGAAGUGAUCACAAAUAGACACUCAUCACUUUCCAGCUAAUACCAAGCUGUUUGCAAAUGGAACAGGAGAAAACCUCUGCAUCUCAGAGGCUCUAACAGACUGAAACUGCAAGUGGAACAGCCUUCUCUUGGAAAUCCUGGGGUUUGUUUUUGCCUUAGCAUCGUUGGAUCACUUCUUGUGGAUGUGCCCUUCAUACUGUUUUAUCUGAGCUUGUGAUCUGGAGGGAUUGAGUAUUAAUCAGGAUGGUGGAGAGGCCAACGGCAGUUCUUUUUAAGAGAUGAUUGAUUACUCACCAGGAGAGCUAGAGGAAGCUUUUAAAGACAAAAAUGGGUGCUGGCUACCUAUUUGCCAUUGGAAAGCCAGUAAAAUGAGGUCUCUAUGUCUUAGUCUUUGAAAUUUCCCUCUGGAUUCACUAGAGUAAGAGGACAAAUUUCAGUACUGUUUUCAUAAUUCCAUCUGGGUUACGACAGUCCUUAACGCAGCAGUUGCCGUCAAAUUAAGUGUCAGACGAAUGCCACAGAAGAUGAGAAUUAAAAUUCGGAUGCCGCGUCUGCCUGGUUCUCAGGAUCAGACAGAGUUUAUUUCCUCGCAGAUGCUAAUCAGCAGCUUCGCUGGCUCUGGACGGGCUCCAGCUCUCCAAGAAGCCAUGGACGGAGUUUCUGGAUGUCGCCACGGGCUGAUGGUAGAGAGGGCUGUGGUUGUGUGCCUGCACUACAAAUGGUAAAACCUGUCCUCCUGUUUCAGCCUACUCUCCUUCUCAGGCCAGCAAAUUUCAUACUUAUUACCGGUUGCUUAAGGACAAGCCCCUUCUUUUGACAUGUUUUUACUUGUGGAUUCCCUCUGUGCCUCGACAUCUCUUUUUUUGUGUGUUUGGGAAUCACUGGUUCAAAUUAAAACUAUUCAGUAUGAUGUCUUGUGAAGAUUCACACCCUUCAAAACAGCAUCCCUGUUUUAAUGUUUGGGUUGCUUAAGGUUUCUCUCCAAAUACCAUUAAUUAUCUAGAAAAUCUGUAAGUGUAUCUAUAAGUAUAGAGAGGUACACGUAGACUUAUCUAUAAGUGCAUUUAGGCCAGGUAUUGGGACUAAACAGGAUGACCACCUGUUUAGCAUUCAAGUUCAUCUAUCUAAACUACCAUUUUCAUUUGU